rnacentral:piRNA from 1 species
AAGAAGAGAGACUACUGUAUGGAGCCA